GUGCUCACUUUGGCACCAUAUAUACUAAAAUAGAGAGAAGAUUAGCAUGGCCCAAGUGAAAGGAUGCCAGGCAAAUCUAUAUAACAUCUAUACUUUUGU
rnacentral:snRNA from 1 species